AGCUGUAGACUAGCAUCAAGAAGCUCUGCAGCCAGGUCUGGACAGGUCUCUCACACACAGAUUAAACCUGUCAUUGUAAUGGCAUUGUGCACUGGGAUGUUCUGGAAGAUAAGAAACCCUCCAACUGUGGUACUGACCACAGGCAGCAUAAAAGCUCCCCAUUUAGAGGAGCAUCCCAUGCAGGACACUCCUCGUUCCAAUUAAUUUGAAGCACAGGCAUAACCUCACAGACCUGCAGGUGGAGAAGGAGCAGACUGUUCCUUUUGUUGAAAGGCUGAGAGAACCACAUCCCCAGCCCAGGCUGGCUGCAGGAACUCCUUGCAUCUUUCUUCUCAUGGAAAAUGAAGUCACCCUGAAUCACACAGGUCACCCAACAUUCCUGCUUGGUACCUCCUUAAUCCUUUGGAUGCAGAUCAUUGGAAAUCUAACUGUAAACUCUGCAUUGAAGGGCUGCAAGAUUCAACCCUGUGUCAAGAAGGAAAAAGAUGAAGAAGAAAGGUUACACUUGGAGGACCUUGGCCAGGAACAUCUCUUGAACCU